CACCGGACAGGGCGACUGCAGGAAGACUGUGACCUUCUCAUCCUCUAGCAUGAGCUGCAGGAAGAGCCUGCGGAUGAAGCCAGAGAUGUUGCCAGAGACGGGCACGCUUCCACGCUGGGGGGCCGACUGGAAGAGCUCACACAGCACCUACAGAGAACAAGAGCCCACCAAAGACACACGUUAGUAAUCUAUCAGAUACGGUUGGUAAGGGUGGAAAUGUGUGUAGUCAAUGCAUUCCACCAGACCUGUGCCAUGAGCCGCUGGUUGUUGGGGUGGCAGGAGAUGCACUGCAGGAAGAAGGCCACUGUGGCGUUCUCGAUUGCCGUCCUCUGCUGGGUGGUGAGCCCGCUGCCCCGGGUCGACGAGGCCAGAGAGUAGCGCGACCCUGAAGGCUGGGGUGGGGGCGGAGGAGGGGGGCAGCACGCACCACCGGGGCCAGCAGAGUGAGCUCCCGCGUGCCCAUGGACACCGCUGGUUCCCCCUGCGCUGGCGCUGCUGUGGCAAAGCAGGAACAGCAAAGCGGUCCACAGCGGGUUCACCUCAGGCCCACCUAUCCAGUCCUUCAUGGCAUGACUGUUCCCAACCUCAGUGAGGAAACGCAGCACUGGGGCUGCCAGCUCUGCAGACAGGGGCGCCCUGCUCUGAGAGGAAGAUGACGAAGAGGAGUGGGGGUGGUGGUGCUGCCGUCGUUCGGCCUGGGCGGUGGAGGGCAGAGGUAGGCCAGCUGCAGCCAGGAGGCCACAGCAGAGUCCGGCCAGGCUGCGGACCAGCAAAGAGGGCAGGCCUGAGUCCAGCAGCUGCUCUAUCGCCCCGGGUGACUGGGAAGCUGCAGCCAGAGUGGUCAGUUGUGACUCGGACAAGGCGAUGGGUGGCCGCGCGUGUUUGGAGUCGUCAGUGAGGCCAGCGCUGGUGGUGGCGUUAGCAUUGGCGCUGCUGAGGUCGUGCUGUUUCUUGCCAUCGUCCGUCAUGGAGAGGCGGUGCUGGGCGGCGGUAGGCGGGGCCACGAUGCCCAUCCAGGACAUGAGCAGAGAGAAGUAGCUGGGGUGGAUGUGGCACAUGGAGCAGAGCAGGCUGUCUACUGCCUUCUUCAGCACCAUGUUACACGGCAGGGACAUGGACCAGUUGUACAGCAGUCUACAGGAGAGACAGGGACAACAGUAUAAACAAAGCAACACACAUCUUUCCCUCUAAAUUCAACAGGUCAGAAACCUUAAUCCUUCUGAAUAUUUUCACUCCACAAGUAUUGGCAGUGACACAUUUGUAUUUGUUUUGGCUCUGUACUCCAGCACUUUGGAUUUGAAAUUAUACAAUGACUAUGGCUUUAAAGUGCAC
rnacentral:lncRNA from 1 species